CCUACGGGUGGCAGCAGUGGGGAAUAUUGGGCAAUGGGCGCAAGCCUGACCCAGCAACGCCGCGUGCAGGAAGAAGGCUUUCGGGUUUUAAACUUCUUUUUUCAGGGACGAAGCACGUGACGGUACCUGACGAAUAAGCCACGGCUAACUACGUGCCAGCAGCCGCGGUAAUACGUAGGUGGCAAGCGUUAUCCGGAUUUACUGGGUGUAAAGGGCGUGUAGGCGGGACUGCAAGUCAGAUGUGAAAAACACGGGCUCAACCUGUGGCCUGCAUUUGAAACUGUAGUUCUUGAGUACUGGAGAGGCAGACGGAAUUCCUAGUGUAGCGGUGAAAUGCGUAGAUAUGAGGAGGAACACCAGUGGCGAAGGCGGUAUGCUGGACAGCAACUGACGCUGAGGCGCGAAAGCGUGGGGAGCAAACAGGAUGAGAUACCCCGGUAGUC
rnacentral:rRNA from 1 species